AAUUGUGUUAUUAAAGCUGCUUGGCAGCAGUAUCCUCUGUUUCAUUUUCACCUAAAGAAAUGGAAUACUGAUAUAUAAAUUCAAAUUUAUGAGGAUAUGUGUCAGAAAACAUACAACCUAUAAUGGGAAGCUGAGGUGGCAGGGGCCCUUGAUUUUCCAUACUCGGACAUUCUUUGUGAGAGCCCAGAGCCAACUAGGGGCUGGUUUUAAAUACUGCUGAAGGAGGUCAUCAAGAGGACGUGAUUGCUGAUUGACCCUCCAGGUGGAUCCAGGCAGUCAGAGGCUCCUCCCCAUUCCCUUGGUCUUGGAAGGUCUGCUCAGCCUGAAGCUCUCACAGCCAGGGCCAUUUCCAGGGUGCUGCAGCCUUGAGAGUGAGGUGCGUUGAGACCAUUUGGAUAUGUGAUUGAAGCCCGUGCAGGCCUUUGAGUAAGUGUUUUAAGAUUCUCGUGGAUGUGUAUGGACUCAGUCACCUUGCAGCGCCCAGACAAGCCUAUUGGGCUGCCCAUUUGGAGUAAGAGAGUGGAAAAAAUGGAGAAAUACAAGAUGGAGUAGAGAUGGCAAAGGUGGAGAACCAAAUAAUACCUAAGAGUGAGGCUAGAGACAUGACCACUGCCCCAGGAGACAUUUGAUGGUUGGUCGAGAACUUUAAGGGACUUUUGAAUUCCUCAUCAUUGACUGAUCAUGUACUCUUAUCAGUAAUACUUUUCUGAGUGUGCCUCCCACAUAAACAUAUUCUUUUACUUAUUUUUAAAUUUAUACUUGUACUGAUGUUCCAGUACAUUAUGUUCAUUACUAAAACUAUACAAAUAUUAGAAAUGUAAAAACUUUGAGAUAAAGAUUUAAAAAGC